UACGUAGGGUGCGAGCGUUGUCCGGAAUUAUUGGGCGUAAAGAGCUCGUAGGCGGUGUGUCACGUCGGCCGUGAAAACCUGGGGCUUAACUCUGGGCGUGCGGUCGAUACGGGCAUCACUAGAGUUCGGCAGGGGAGACUGGAAUUCCUGGUGUAGCGGUGAAAUGCGCAGAUAUCAGGAGGAACACCGGUGGCGAAGGCGGUUCUCUGGGCCGAUACUGACGCUGAGGAUCGAAAUCAUGGGUAUCGAACAGG
rnacentral:rRNA from 1 species